GUGCCCAUCGAUUAGUGGUUAAAUCACUUCGUUGUGGCCCUGUCAGCUCCGAAGAGCCCCGCGUUCGACUCGCGGUGGGCACA